ensembl:lncRNA
GCAGCUGUCUGCUGAUAGUAAUUAGUUCAGAUUGCUACAAAAGGAUGUUUCUCUGAGCUGCAAAAUAAACAGUUGUGUUCUCUCACUUUAAAAGAAAUCAAAGAAAGUAACUCCAACACAAGUUGCUAAAUCUGAAAACAAAAAGACUGAGUAGAAAAACAGCUUUGUAUGGAGCAGGCACAACUACAAAAGUAGAGCAAAAUGAGAAAUGAUAGUUUGUCUUCGUGAGGAUCAGUGCCAGAGUAUUCCAUCAUUUUAAUUCUCACGUUUACUUUUUAAACAUUUAUUUAUUCAGAAGGCUUUCUGUUUUGCUUUUAAAACCUUGCAAACAAUCUUCCAACAAAACAACCCCAAAAACAAAACUACAUUCGUAUUAAAACAAAACCAUGAGUUUCAGUUGACCGUCUAUUGUGGCCAUACUGUACUACUCAGCAACUGAUCAGCAAAAAAAAAAAAAAAAGCAGAGUAUACAAGAGGAGAUUUCUGACACUACCAAAGAACUGAAACCCACCAUAUCACCAUUUGCAUUGCUGUCACGCCUAGAAAUGCUAGCCAAGUCAAAGCAUUAAACCAGCACGGAGUGAAAAGUCUCUCCUCCAAAAAACUUAUUAUCCAAGUAUAAAGGGAGGAGAAGUGAAGGCGUGUUGGAAGUAGAAGGUAACAAUAAGACAAUGUAGGUCAACAGGCUCCUUGUGCCUACAGCCCAGCUAUUGUCAAUGUCUUUUGUUGCCUCUGCUACCAGCAUGAGAAACUGCAUGAAGACAAGCAAAUCAUGCAUGUUGGAAGUUGUGUUCAGUGAACAAUGGAAGUGAGCAACACUAGCUGACAGGGUGUGAGAGCUGGAACGCCAAAGCUGUCUGUAAGACGACAGGUAAGUUGGAGAUAGAUAACCCGUCAAGGCCCUUGGACAAGAAGACCAGCAGGAUGUACCUGAAUUAAAAGGAAAGGGGGAGUAACAGAAGGGGACACACGUUAAUAACAGUCAAAGCAAUGAGGGCUCAAACUGGGUGGGAUGUAGCCACAGUGUUGCUAAUAGGCUGUACAGUGACAUUGACACACUUGCAUCCUGCCUGCAUCCUCGUGAUAAUUGUCUGUUACAUUCCAUUAAUCAAGGUCAGAGGGAAAGGAUGUCAUAGCAACUGAAACAGAAGUCAGUGAGGAUAUAGAUGAGGAAUUUAGCAGAGAAGAUACUAAUACAGUCCAUAUUGCAUCAAGUUAUACAAAGAAGUAGCAUAAUAUAGAGGUGUCACACGAAUACGUAGGGAUCAAAGUCCAAGGUGAUGACAGGCUUAAUGGUAACCCUACUGUCAGUUUAUAGAGGAACGGGCAUAUAGCUUUACAUUGCUGUACAUACAGAGCUGCAGUGGAUACUCUCCCACCUUAAGCACUAGGUCUAUUUAGUUUUGAGUCCAUGUGAGAGGUUUCACAUUGUGGCAGGGAGAAACUCAUCGUAACAUCUCUGUUCUCAGCGGUCAUGGCAGAGUUCUGCCAAACCCUGAUCACUGCUGUAGUAAUUUCCUGCCUCAGUAACAGUUGGCCAUUUUGUCUCCUGCAGAACACCUGUCACUGAAAUAUACGAGGAAUUCAGCCUAAGAAUUUUCUGUAUUUUUAAUCUGCACUCUGGCUAUUUUCAGAAACAAUUCAAACAGAGUAUUCUUGAAAAUUCAGUGAUGUUACUGAGUUGUUAGUUUCCUCCUAUUCAUCCUGCCCAGAUUCCUGACAGCACCGGGCGCAGUGCAGGUUAAAACAGCAAAUUACAAGGCACCUGCUAUUGCAGUAAGCUGCUGAAACUUAAGUUGCAGUUGGUGAUAAAGCUGUCUGCUUAUUAGUAGUAAUAUAAUUUUCUCUCAGCAGUGGAUUGGCAAUCAGGUCUUGUUUUUCAAUUUUUCUUGAUUUUUUUUUUUUUUUUAAACAUAAUCACUGAUGAUACUUCUAGAAAGGACAGGAUUUCUUGCACAGGGACACCUGUCAGUAUGUGCCAGGAAACAUAGCUGCAUAGCCAUUAGGGUAGUAAGCGUAUUCUCUGUGGAUUGUUUGAAGAUAAUAGUGCUAUUAUUUGUGGAUAAAGAUUAUAAUUCUUUAACACCAGAUGCGACCACUUUUUUUUUCCCUCCAGUUGUCAUGAGCUAUUAUUUCGCAAACCCCAGGGUUUUAACUUUGAUUGCUGUGUGUAGGUACAAAUUGCUUCUCAGUGUUCUUCUUCAUUUAGUCUUUCCAUCAGGGAUGUGGCUGUCUCCAUCCCUGUGUGUUACAUGUCAAGGCACUUGUGCAACUCCCCCACAUGGCCCAUCGUGAUAGGCUUUAGUAAUUUCAAUUGUAAAUGCUACCAAUUCACCAUUUUAAUCAAUUUUUAGAUAGGAUUUUUUCCCCUGCCUGGAGUAGUAUGAUCUGCUUCCUUUCUCACAUGUGAGAAGGGCUGGAAAGGUGAGAACUCAGCCACUGGAAAUAGGAAGCUACCAAGUGAAGUUAUUUGAGAUGAGCUUGUCUAACCAGAGUUCCCUGGAGAAGGGUAGGCUUUGCAGGAGAGAGGGAUGAACUUGAAAGUUCAGCCCAUAGAACAAAUGACCAAGCUGCUUUGGAGGCACUGCAGAUUGAACUUGGCUGUGUUGGAGAGUACUGUGCAUGAUGACUUUUGUAUUCAGACUCUGAGGAAGGACAAGAGGGACAGAGUUGGGUAGACCUUUCCAAGCUACCUGACACGGGAGCCAUAAGACACUAGAGUAAGCUGGAAACACUGCUGGGGAAACUAAGGCAGAGUAGCUGCUGGAGGGUGUCUUGCCAUAGAGAGGCAGUCUAAUGCUGUGUCACAGAUCUAAAUUCAAACUAGAGAACACUGACAGAAUCCUUUCAACUCCAUAGAACAGAGGGUUUUCUUUGCUAAGAUCUAGCAAAACACUGUAUUUGAAUGGACUCUUCUACACUGCCUCUUCAAGGCUGGUCCUUCUGUGCUCAGCUCACCCUGUAUUCUUACUUUCCUGCUGUGGGGCUGAAAUGCUCCACAUCUGUUGGCUGUUCCCUGUGGUUCCUGUUCUUGCUGUUCACCACAGAUCUUCGCUACCCUAUAAAAAUCAAAACUAACCAUGAGUUGAAUUAUAUUCACUUCCACAGCUGAGCAGAAACUGCAUUGAUUUAAUAUUUUCUAUUUAGUCUAUUGAUUUUUUGGGUAGUCCCAAAAGCACACUCCCAUAAACGGCCACACAGAAUUUUGUACUCAGUUUAACAGUUUUAUUUACAAAGAAUGUUCUUGCCCCUUGCCAAGUUACUCCAGGCAUGAACAUCUAAAUUUAAUUUCUAUGAUUAAUACAGCAUAAAAGAGAUGUAUAUAAAAGACAGUUCUCUGACUGCACGGUUAUAUGGGAUACCAGAAGGGCAAUAUACCAUUUAGGAAUAGCUAGGAAGUAGAAGAAUUCUCACUUGCCAGGUCUUAGCUGUUAAAAGACAAAAAUAAGGGGAGUGAAAAAUCUUCAUAAAACAAUUUAUUUUUCACCCACCUAUUUAAGCAGGUAAGCUUGUUGUAGGUACUGGCACAAAAGCAGGCCUCUGAAAAUGCUUCUGAGAACCAUUAUUUUCCGAAGUUACCACCCCUGAUGAGUGCUACUAUAGCAGAUACUCAGAAUUAACAAAUCUAAUAGAGAUGGGACUGUAGAAGGAAGGCUGUGAGGAACAGAGUUUUACAGAAUCGCAGAGCCAUCAAGGUUGGAAAAGACCUCUGAGACCGCCUAGUUCAACAGCCCACCUAUCACCAGUACUUUCCUACUAAGCCAUAUAGCAUAGUAGUGCCUUUUGAACAGCAGAUGCUGAAAAUGGGUAGGUUCUCAUGUGAAAAGUCACUAAUUCCUUUCUCUAUCCUACCACUUGCAGGAGGAUGUAGCAUGUUUACAGAGUAAGCAGAGCACAAUUAAGCUUCCCAGUCAGCUGCUGAGGAGGAUGAGGUGGAUCUUUUAAUUGAGGAUAAGAAAACAGUACUUGGUUCAUUAAAAA